GACGAACGCUGGCGGCGUGCUUAACACAUGCAAGUCGAACGGUAAGGCCCCAGCUUGCUGGGGUACACGAGUGGCGAACGGGUGAGUAACACGUGGGUGACCUGCCCCGCACUUCGGGAUAAGCCUGGGAAACUGGGUCUAAUACCGGAUAGGACCGCACCGUGAGGGUGUGGUGGAAAGUUUUUCGGUGUGGAUGGGCCCGCGGCCUAUCAGCUUGUUGGUGGGGUAAUGGCCUACCAAGGCGGCGACGGGUAGCCGGCCUGAGAGGGUGGACGGCCACAUUGGGACUGAGACACGGCCCAGACUCCUACGGGAGGCAGCAGUGGGGAAUAUUGCACAAUGGGCGGAAGCCUGAUGCAGCGACGCCGCGUGGGGGAUGACGGCCUUCGGGUUGUAAACUCCUUUCACCAUCGACGAAGGUUUUCUGACGGUAGAUGGAGAAGAAGCACCGGCUAACUACGUG
rnacentral:rRNA from 1 species